AGGAUGAACGCUGGCGGCGUGCCUAAUACAUGCAAGUCGAACGAGGUGCUUUUGUAGCAAUACGAGAGUAUCCUAGUGGCGAACGGGUGAGUAACGCGUUGGUGACCUACCCAAAGUGUGGAAUAACAGUCCGAAAGGAUUGCUAAUACCGCAUGUGGUUAUCGGGCUUAGAAACUGAUAACUAAAGGAGCAACUCGCUUUGGGAGGGACCUGCGUCCCAUCAGCUAGUUGGUGAGGUAACGGCUCACCAAGGCUACGACGGGUAGGGACCUGAGAGGGUGACCCCACAAUGGAACUGAAACACGGUCCAUACACCUACGGGUGCAGCAGUAGGGAAUAUGCAACAAUGGGCGAAAGCCUGAUGGCAGCAAACGCCGCGUGUGCGAUGAAGGCCUUGGGUCGUAAAGCAACUUUCUUGAGAGAUAGAGAAAGGACAAGUAUCUCAGGAAAUAAGUCUCGGCUAAACCUACGUCGCCGAAGCAGCCGC
rnacentral:rRNA from 1 species